rnacentral:rRNA from 1 species
AAUGAACGCUGGCGGCGUGCCUAACACAUGCAAGUCGAGCGAUCUCUUCGGAGAGAGCGGCGGACGGGUGAGUAACGCGUGGGUAGCCUGCCCUGUACACACGGAUAACAUACCGAAAGGUAUACUCAUAAGGGAUAACAUACGAAAGUCGCAUGGCUUUUGUAUCAAAGCUCCGGCGGUACAGGAUGGACCCGAGUCUGAUUAGCUAGUUGGUAAGGUAAUGGCUUACCAAGGCAACGAUCACUAGCCGACCUGAGAGGGUGAUCGGCCACACUGGAACUGAGACACGGUCCAGACUCCUACGGGGAGGCAGCAGUGGGGAAUAUUGCACAAUGGGCGAAAGCCUGAUGCAGCAACGCCGCGUGAGCGAUGAAGGCCUUCGGGUCGUAAAGCUCUGUCCUCAAGGAAGAUAAUGACGGUACUUGAGGAGGAAGCCCCGGCUAACUACGUGCCAGCAGCCGCCGUAA